GAUCUGGCUCAGGAUGAACGCUAGCUACAGGCUUAACACAUGCAAGUCGAGGGGCAGCAUGAGCUUAGCUUGCUAAGCUGAUGGCGACCGGCGCACGGGUGAGUAACGCGUAUCCAACCUUCCCCUUAGUAGGGCAUAGCCCGGUGAAAAUCGGAUUAAUACCCUAUGUCUUCACAGCGGACAUCUAACGUGAAGCAAAGGUUCACCGCUAAGGGAUGGGGAUGCGUCUGAUUAGGUAGUCGGCGGGGUAACGGCCCACCGAGCCAUCGAUCAGUAGGGGUUCUGAGAGGAAGGUCCCCCACAUUGGAACUGAGACACGGUCCAAACUCCUACGGGAGGCAGCAGUGAGGAAUAUUGGUCAAUGGUCGAGAGACUGAACCAGCCAAGUAGCGUGCAAGGAUGACGGCCCUAUGGGUUGUAAACUGCUUUUAUGCGGGAAUAAAGUGCAUCACGUGUGGUGUUUUGUAUGUACCGCAUGAAUAAGGACCGGCUAAUUCCGUGCCAGCCGCGGC
rnacentral:rRNA from 1 species